UAGAGUCCAUAAGGAAUGAAAGAGUUUUAUCUAAUAACCGAAAUAAUAAUAGUUACAAUUUUUCAAGAAUGAAAGAAACGUAUAAUUCUAUUACUACUAAUAAUAGCAAUAAUAAUAUUAAACCAGUAUACAUUUAUGAUAGUAAAAUAUCAAAUAACAAUGAUGAAAAAUAUGAUAAAUAUGAUAAAUACGAAAAAUAUGACAACUAUAAUGUUAGUCCUUAUUUAAAAAAUAAUUCGAAUAGUCCAUCUUCUAUAUUACCCAACCGCAAUAUGUUGAACAAAUUUAACAAUAGUAGUAGUAAUAAUAAUAGUAUUACGACUACUGCUACCACUGCUACUACUGGUACUAGUGGUACAUAUUCUGUUAAUAACGUUUAUGGUUCUCCUGAAUGUUAUAGUGGUUAUAACAAUCAUAGUACGAUAAGUCCGUAUAGUACUAAUUCAGGAGAUAGUGUAAUGUAUAAAAAUGAUAGUAUUAAUAAUAAUAAUAAUAAUAAUAAUAAUAGUAGUUGUAUUAUUAAUAAUAAUAAAUAUAAUCAGAGUAUAGCUAAAAAUGUAAAAGAUAUAUAUAGUGAUAAUGUAACAGAUUCAUCUCGAUUUAGGAGUAUACCUUAUGAAAGUAUCUACGAUACUCAUAGUAAUAAAAAUAGUAACUACAACAAUAAUAAUGGAAAUAGUACUUGUAGAAGUAGCAGAGUAUCAAAUAUGUAUUUUAAUGAUAGUGCUAGACGAAGUAUCAGCGCUAUUCCUAAUAUAAACAAUCUUAGCAGACGUAAUUCGAAUAUGUAUAUAGGUGAAGACGAUACAUAUAAUAAUAAUAAUAAUAGUAAUAAUAAUAAUAAUAAUAAUAGUAAUUUAGAUGAAAAUAACAGUUAUAGAAUGCUUGAAAAGGAUAAAGAAUAUUUAAUAGAAAAAAGAAAACUAUUUUUGGAAAGGGAAAAAGACGCUUAUGAGCGAAUUAGGCAAAAUAAUAACUACGCUUACGUUAAUAUACCAAGAUACGAAAGAUGCGAAGAUAUGAAGAAUAUAAAUAAAUCAAAUAACUUAUCCUCUAACAGACGUAAUAGAAGUAUGGUUAAUUGUGUAAACGAACAAGAAAAAAGAAUGUCAACCUAUAAUAUAAAAAAAGCUUACGAAGAUGAAGAUGAUGAUAACUAUGCCAUGCAAAGUAGAAAUGUGUAUAAUGUGAAGAAUAUGGUACAUAAUAAUGAUUAUAGUGUAUAUGAUAGGAACACAUUUUCUUGUAGGUGAUAAAUAAAAUUAAUAGAGCGAAUAAUAAACA
rnacentral:lncRNA from 1 species